rnacentral:rRNA from 1 species
UACGUAGGGGGCAAGCGUUAUCCGGAUUUACUGGGUGUAAAGGGAGCGUAGACGGCAGGGCAAGUCUGGAGUGAAAGGCAGGGGCCCAACCCCUGGACUGCUCUGGAAACUGUCCGGCUGGAGUGCGGGAGAGGUAAGUGGAAUUCCUAGUGUAGCGGUGAAAUGCGUAGAUAUUAGGAGGAACACCAGUGGCGAAGGCGGCUUACUGGACUGUAACUGACGUUGAGGCUCGAAAGCGUGGGGAGCAAACAGG